UCGAGCCCAUGUGAAGCCUCUUCGACGAGUCGAGUUGUUUGGGAAUGCAGCUCAAAAUGGGUGGUAAAUUUCAUCUAAAGCUAAAUACUGGCUGGAGACCGAUAGCGCACAAGUAGAGUGAUCGAAAGAUGAAAAGCACUUUGGAAAGAGAGUCAAACAGUACGUGAAAUUGUUGAAAGGGAAGCGCUUGCAACCAGACCUGCCCGUAGGCGAUCAGCCGCUGUUUUCAGCGGUGCACUCGUUCUGCGAUCAGGCCAGCAUCGGUUUGGGCGGUCGGAUAAAGGCCUUGGGAAUGUAGCUCCCCCCGGGGAGUCUUAUAGCCCUCGGUGCAAUGCGGCCAGCCGGGACCGAGGACCGCGCUUCGGCUAGGAUGCUGGCGUAAUGGUUGUCAGCGACCCGUCUUGAAACACGGACCAAGGAGUCUACAACUUACGCGAGUGUUUGGGUGUUAAACCCAUACGCGGAAUGAAAGUGAACGGAGGUGAGAACCCUUAAGGGCGCAUCAUCGACCGAUCCAGAUGUCUUCGGAUGGAUUUGAGUAUGAGCGUAAUUCGUAGGACCCGAAAGGUUAGUACCUCCAUCCCCCCUUUUUAUUAUAUAGU
rnacentral:rRNA from 1 species